rnacentral:lncRNA from 1 species
GUUCUGCCAAAUUUCUUGGUGGUCGGUUGGGGUGGUUACUUAAUGGUGGGUGUCUUAUUGAAGUUUGACUGUAAUCUAUGCAGUUCAUAUAAAUCAUAAUCAUCAUAUACUUUUCAUAGUAAGACUAUUACCAUAACAAAAUUGUUUUUAAUUUGAACUGCAUCCCUUAUAUCAUGUUGAACUCAUGAAUUCAACUUAAUGAUGCCCAUUUCCAGUUGUUUUCCCUUCAUAAAUUGUGAUGUUCUUUGCUAUUCUUUAUUCUUUGUUACUCUUUCAUGUUUUAUUAUGCGGCCAUCUUGUCAAUCAACAGUCACCAUCUUGAAGGAUAACAUUCAAUUCCAGAUUUCACUUCCAUAUUUUUCAGGAAGGUCCAACUCACUCUGUUUAAUCUAUUCUUCAAUCUUCUGAUUGACUCAACUGAAUAGAUUAUAGCACUUCUUGCAGUAUGGGAAAAAAUUUGCUUUUAUUAACAAUCGACCAGAACUAAC